ensembl:lncRNA novel transcript, antisense to SLC8A3
GACUCCUCCCCAUGCAAACAGCGGCAGCUUCCCGAGGCCCCACCGCUUCCUCCCAGCGCGUAGGCCAAUGGGAGAUUUCUCCAGGUGUGUAUUUGUUCAUUCGCGCACUGCUAUAAAGAAAUACCUGAGACUGGGUAAUUUAUAAAGAAAAGAAGUUAAUUGACUCAGUUCUGCAGGCAAUACAGGAAGCAAGAUGCUGUCAUCCGCUUGGCUUCAGGUCUAAUAUCCAGAAUCUACAAGGAACUUAAACAAAUUUACAAGGAAAAAACAAAUAACCCCAUCAAAAAUAGGACAAAGGAUAUGAACAGACACUUCUCUAAAGAAGACAUUUAUGCGACCAACAAACAUGAAAAAAUGCUCAUCAUCACUGGUCAUUAGAGAAAUGCAAAUCAAAACCACAACGAGAUACCAUCUCACGCCAGUUAGAAUGGUGAUCAUUAAAAAGUCUGGAAACAACAGAUGCUGGAAAGGAUGCGGAGAAAUUGGUCUCCAGCUCACUGAAAACAGCCUCCCCUGAUGAGCACACCAUUGUUAUGUAAUAGCCUAACCCUUACCCCUCGCCUAUCAGGGGGUGCC